UCGUUGCUGCUCUCGGCAAUAUUAAUCGGGACCGGAAAUACAGCAGUUUACUGCUUCACCGGCCACCGUCUCUUCACCACCGCCACUGAAGCGAAUCUGCAUAAUUGAUUAUACGCGUCUCCCCUGCCACUGGUUAUGAUUUGAUUGGCGGCCGCAACUAUAGGGUUCGACUGCGUCCUCCCUUAUUAUUAUUGUUAUCUGCUGCAUGUGUAAUCGAAUCAAACGUUUUUUGCGAACGAUACGUACGAUUUUAAUAAUUUCGUCCAUUACAUUUUGUCGCGUAUUGAUUUAUAAAUUAUGACCAACUUCUUCGAACUUUUUUUUUAUAUCUUCAAUACUUCUGUACUUGUGCAUAUGUAUACUGUCUAUGUACUAUAAUCAAACGCUUGUGUGCCAAACUCUCCGAUACAUUUUCAAGGACGAUAAGUCACGUAGAAAACUAACAAUAAGGCGAAUAUGCCAGGUAAAGAAGAGAAGAGGGCAACUGUUUUGAAUGCGUUCAUUAAGCCACGGGGAAGAACGUUACACCGGACGAUUAACUUAUUAACCUGUCUUCAUAAUAUCUGCAUAACGAUGCGACUUCAUUAGGCGUCGUACACCACUCCCGUGCUUGGCUUUGCGUGUGUGCGUGCACGCCUGUUGCUUGCACGCGCGUGUUGCACGCCUCAACGUUCAUUGGACAGUCUCACACGCGCUCGACAUUCCUACACACGUGUACGGGGCUCGUGUGUAGUGAGGAGCCAGUGUGAAAAGAAGGACAGAAAAGGAGAGCGGCGAGAGCGAAAGAGAGGCAGCAAACGGAGAAAAUUAAAUAAGAGGGAGAAGGAGAGAGCGAAACAAACUGGCAGAUCGAAAAAGGUAAUGUAUAAAUACGAGACCACCCACCGCGAUGCCGAGCCCGACACCCUGUUCCACCAAAUACGAGACAAUUUUCGAUUCUGAUACGGACGGUCGUUGCUUUUUUAUUUUCUUCUCCGAUUCCAGGGACCUUGUGGCAGUUUUCGUUGACUGUCUCGAAGCUUCGAACAGGAGAUUGAUACAACAACGCCAUAAGGACUUCCCAUUAAUGUCAACGGCGAGAGAGUUGGCGCUUAUCGAUUAGGAAAUAUUAAUUUCGGAUAAUAUUGAAACGAAAAAUCAAAUGGCAAGUAUCGGUUCGUGUUAGCCCGAAAGCGGUGCAAAGGAGCACCGACGUUCGUUGUUUGCGUAACAGUAACAUAAUAUCCGCGCGUGAUACAAGCGACGCAGCGCCACGUAGAAAUAAAACGGGUGGUCGACCUGUUCUUCUCGCGUUGCGAAAUUACCGCUGUGUUUAUCAGGCUUUUGUACGGAAACCUUCACAAGCUUUUAAACGAUCCACCAUUAACUUCUUUCCGAGCAUCGAUAAUCGUAAAUUAAUAUAUCGUAGGACAUUAAUUAAAUCCUGCCUCUAGUUGCUUUUCUUUCGUUUUAAUUUAUAGACGUUUAACCAAAGAUCGGUUAUUGCUUGGUUGUUUCUCACUGUUUCGAAAGUUCCACACGACGAACCUCCGAUACAUUCAUAAAUCUUCAAUGAAAGAGAAAUUAGUUGAUCGACGAGGGAAUAAAUUUCGUGAGUACGAAGUCUCGGAUACGAAUUAAGGGCACGAAGCAGAACGAAAAAGGAGUGGAAAUGUCAUUGCAUAUUAUGGUGGCGGUUUCGACGAAUACAUACAUCCUACUGCAGUUGCCGAUCUGGCGAUAAGGCACAGCGUGCGGAGGGACCGUUAAUAAUUUUUACGACACUCUUAACUCGCCACCCAGUAUUAAGCGGUCCUCCGUAGAAGACGAGCUUUGAUCUUUGCCGACGCUGCAUCGACUUAAUGAGUGCGAGAGCGAGAUAGUCGCGCAACCAGGAUGAAACAGAGCGCACGACUGGCGCACCGCAGUCCCCUGUAGAUCUAUUUUCCGCAAUGUGCACCGCUGCAGUUCGGGUUGCAUCUCUACAGGCUUCCUACUGUGUGCUUUCAUCUACGAUGAAACGUUACUGUUCUGGAACAGUAGCGUAAAAAGUAAGAAUUUUUCUCGGUCGAAAUUGACUUUAAUUAGAUGUGUUGGAUUGCCAUGAUGGAAUUUUAUGAAUGCCAGAAGACUGUAUUUUAUAGCUGUUCUUAUGGCUCUUUACUGUAAUAAUGACAAGUAUUUUUCUCUUGCUGUUUAAUAUCAUCGUUAAUUAUUUUAAAGGACUUUUACUGUUCUUGUCUGUCUUUUAAAUAUGCAGUGGCCUGCAAAAAUCUCUGGGCAGAUAGAUUUUUCGUUUCGCGUUUGCAUACGUCGAAUAUUGAUAUUCCAUGAUCGGCGUCCAGUUUUUACACGAACAAUCAUCGUUUCUCGGUUCAUAAGUAUCUAUUAAAACAUGUUGAAGAUUGACGCCAUAACAACUAAUUAGCAGAGUAGCGUAUAAUCGCUAUGCGGAUUAUCUUCAUGACUGAAAUACUCGUUUCAUAAUUCCAUGGAUAUUCCGGAUAUUUCUCCAUUAAAAGAGUCCUUCCAUCGCCACUUUAUUUUCUCCUCACCUCUUAUCUAUCUUACGUGCUCUUCAUUAGCGAGCUUAAAAAUCGCGACAACGUAAAAACCAAGCACGCACGCACAUAUUUAAUUAAGAAAAAGAUGAAGACCAACGUAGGUAAGAAGAAAGCCGGCAAAACGACGCACGAUCCGGUCUUUCGCCUGUGCCUCCUAACAUGAAGAACGCCACUAAAAACCCAUCGAUUUAAAAGCAGAAAACGUCGAAACGUCGACAAGGACAAAAGGAGGCGCCGAUGUCAUACACGAGGGAAAUAAAGAAGGGGGACACAUCGGGCAACAAUAAGCGACAAUAAGACGAAAAAAUACGUGCGCCAGCGACGCACGGCGGGGAAAAAGAAAAAGAAAUGAACGAAGAGUAACAUGGAGAAGGAUAGAUGCCGAUGAAGUAAGGAGCGACGUAACCAGACGGAAAAAGAGAGAAGAGAAGGCCGAACCAGCCGGCGAAACAUGGAAGAAGGAGAAACUCUCGGGAUGAGAGAAUGGAGAAUGGGCGUGGGGGAAGAAGAGAAGUCGACUACUUCCCUUACGCAAGACGACUCGGUGCGCCACGUUCGUUCACUGCGUUGGCCGCGCUCAACGGUGCGUGCACAUGAGAGACACGAGAGAUGCUAUCGGCCACCAAGACGGCUCUCGACUUCUCCAGACCACCCACCGGCAAAAUAAUAAACACGGAAUGCGGCAUACACGUCCGUCCAUCCGUCCGUCCAUUCGUUUGUUUCUAUUUCGCAGAUACCAUCGAAAAUAAGGUCUCCCGUCGAUACCGCAGCUGGCUAUCGCCGAUACUAUGCGCCUUCUGCCGUGUUACUGUUGGGUUGCAAUAACUUGCUGAAUUUGAGGUCGACUACUACCGUGCUCGCGACAGGAGAUCGCUCGACGCGUGAUCUCUUUACCGGUAAUGAGUAAAGCAGUAACGAGCUACGAAUAUUAUUCGCUGGAAAAUGCAGACGCGACUGUGCAACAUCUUAAUCCGACGUGAUCGAUGACUGUGAGAUAGACAUUGUGGUUAGUUAGCUUGGUCGCAGCUUUGGGGAUUCGGUAGAGUUUUCAAGAAGAAGUUAGGAAGUUAUCGAGACACGGGCAGCACGUUCGACUGUGUUGACGUUAUUAAUGUCUUUAUUGUAACUGAUAUAUAUUUGAUAUAGAAGAAAUCGGAAAUCGUGGUACGAGCGUGGUGAAUGUAAAUGAAAGGAUAUGUGGAGAAAGAAAGAAUAACGUGUUUUUGUUUUCGUUUUAACUUGUGCAUUAACUGCACGUUUCCAAUUAUGAACUUGUGUUUCUGCUCGUGUCUUAAACAAGGCAUUAUUAAACGUUAUUAAAUAUGGACAAUUUGCUUCUUCGUUAAUGAAGCGAUUCUUAAGAAAGGAUUGCGGUUUUCCGUCUGCCGGUAUUGUCCAACAUCAUCGUUAAGCCGAAUGCAGAGAUGACUAAUGCCAAGGAUCGGAGGCGCGGCUCUUCCAACAGAGGAUCGUCCUUUACCAUUGUAACAAGGCGAAUCGUUACUCUUCAUCACGGGUGUAGACCGGCUGGCUGAGACCAAGAGAGACGGACGAACAAGAUCGUAACCUGUGGCUAUCUGCAUCUACGAACAGCUACCGGUGCUUCUCGUCGAUGGAUUAUCUACGACGAUACGCCCGCCGUUGUUGUCUGGCCGUGUGGCGCCGAAACGCCAUGGGGACGUGGACUUCCGGUGUUGGCCAGCCGACAAUUCUUCUACAAAUUCCGUUCCGGACGAACAAUUGUCAUUAUCUUGGUUGACUCGGCGCAUUCUUCCUGCCUCUUCCUCGUUUCCCCUCUCGAUACGCGCCUGUGUUAGAGAUACGAUCGACGUGGCGGGUUCGGUCGGUACCGUGAUCGGUCAACGAUUGGUAAUUAUCGGCUGAUUACACGGAGCCAGAGUCACGCGUUAAUUAAAUGGUUACGCUGGCGGUGAGAAUUGGAGCUGAACGUAUCUCACAGGUUCAUGCAGCAGUUAACUGUUGUGUUUUUUCUCUACGGCCUUGUUCGUGCGAGCUUCUCGGUGGCUUCCAAUGUCGAAUUUUAUCGACGGAGAUGCGUCAGCUAAUUUACACGGAAAGUAUUCGAACGAUUAUUCUGUAAAAUUUGUAACACAUACGUAUGUAAUGUUAUAUGGAACUCGUUGAAACUUCGUUGGUAUUUUUAUUAACAUUAAUAUUUUAUUAUCAUAUAAUCUAUCAGCAGCAUAGCGGUAAAACUAGCUAAUGGGGUUUUGUAAAUUUUUUGUAUAACACACAUGACACAGUUGCCAACCCAAUAACUAGAAAAUAAUAACUAGAGCUAAUGAAUCGUAGUUUAUCUUCGGUCGAAACAUUUAUUAAUUUUCUUUAAUGUUAAUAUAAUGGUCACAUUAACAACUGAGGAGAUGUUAGCAGGUUUAGUUCUACAACCUUCAUCCGUUACACUUUGAAAACUAAUUUAAUGGUUGAGUAACUUUCCUCCAUGGUAUAUUAUUAUUGUGUAUUAUAUAAAUUAAACAAGAUAAGACAGUAUAGUAAUUAGAAUACCUUUUUACGUCUUUAUAGCGUACACAGUGUCAGUGGUAAAUCAUUUUACAAGUACAUAGUAAGAUUAAAUAUCCUGCACUUUCGCAAUAUAUAUUUAACCACUUUGAAAUAAUUAAAAUGUAAGAGAAAGCAAUAAAUAGCAAUAGUAAUUUAUGUUUCUAUAUAUAAUACGUACGUUGUACCAAGAAAAACGAAGUAUUUAAUUAUCUUCCGCGUCGUGAAAGGCUUUUACGGAAGAAUUAUUUACAAAAAAAAAAAGAGUUAGAUAGUUCCGUAAUGACGAUGACACGCAGAAUAUAAAACGAAGUGAUGUAGCGUGUUCUUUGUUUCUUUUUACGACUGAAAAUUAUUCUAUGAAAAUUGGACGUUAUUACUAUACACAAUUUCCGCUUCCGCAAUCGCUAUCACACCGCGGUUUUACGCACACGAUAUAACAUUUACUUCCUUAAUACGCCACUGCACUAAUUUCACUGCCCUCGUGUAAAUAAACAUAAUCUUAUACCACGUACAGUAAUUUCAAAACGAAACGUCGCAACUUUUUCGAAACCGAAAGCAUCAUAUUUAUUUUGGAAAAAGGCAUAAAUAACUAUGAGUCGAAAAUGAAGCAAAUAAUAAUUUGCACAUUAUCGUCCACACACUACUAUAAUGAAAUACAAAGGAUGAAACGCUGCGCGUAUUAACCUUGAACAUGUUCAGCAAAUUAUUUACAAGACGUGUACAACAUACAAAACUGAAACAAAAACACCGAUGAACUGAUUCAGAUUUUCCGAAUCAAAGAUACUUAUUUCAUGUAAGUUAGUAUUGCAGUGUCGUGGACGAAAGGCCUAAGAGAUAUCGGGCGAACUAUAAACAAUGUCGUGAGAAAGCCGAAGUGCCGACAGGCCCAACAAUGUAUCGUCGGUCCUUCAAUCGAACAGUUUCGCGGAAAAGGCCUGCGUGACCCUGGCCAUGAGCGGUUGCGGAACACGUGCGCGGUGGGGCUUAGACAAAAGACAAAGCAUGCUAAGG